rnacentral:tRNA from 1 species
GCUGGUAUGGCGGAAUAGGCAGACGCAACAGACUUAAAAUCUGUCGAACAAUAGUUCGUGCCGGUUCAAGUCCGGCUACCAGCA